rnacentral:rRNA from 1 species
AUGGCCGUGAUCCGCUCCUCGAUCUCCACCAGCUGUGUGCCGAACCUUUCGAACAACUCCAGCGCCUUGGCAUCCGACGUCCACUCUGGCGUGUCGCGCUGCCCGAGGUACACUUCGUCCGACGUGUGCUUCGACAGGGUCUCGAGGAGGGUCAGGGCGAGCAUGCUCUGGAAGCACUGGCUGAUGGUGUGGAUGAAAACCCUGUCGGCCUCUUCCUCACCACGCUCUAGCUGUGUAUACUCCUCCGUUCCGGGCACCGGCAUCUUCCGCCGGCUGACCGUUGGCCGGUUUGGGACGUACCCCGCAUACUGGUACUGCCCAAAGUUGACUGCCGCGUGCAGGGCCGACGCCACCCAGAUGAUGGUGAUGCACGUCUUGCCCAGCUCCUCGACGGUCUCCAUCUUGGGCCACCAGUCCUCGUCCUUGAGGUCGCCGUGCCCGACCUCGCGCACCUCUUUCCACCACUCCUUUAGCUCCUUGUCAGCCUGGAGCACGCCGUCGUUGGGGUAA